CAAUCUGUUCCUCAUGCAUGGCU
rnacentral:miRNA from 16 species